rnacentral:misc_RNA from 1 species
AAAUUCAAAUAAAUAAAUUUUCAAAAAAUUAUAAAAAUAAUAAAUUGUUAAUGAAAAAUUAGUACUAAAAAAUUAAUAUAAAAAUAUUAUCCAAAAAUUACUAAUAAGAGCUAUUAACAAAAAUACUAACAAAAACUUAAAUAUAAAAAGAUAUUUGUAAGACAAAUUACUAAAAAAAUUACUAUAUAUAUGUAUUAUAACAAAAAAAAAUUACUAAGAAUCAAUAGUAUAAAUAAUUUACUAAUAAAAAAUAUAUUUGAAUAAAAAUUUUGUUUUAUGCCAAAGAAAAACAAAUUAAAUAAAAAAGUUGAGAAAGAAAAAGAUAAUAAAGAAAAUAGAUAAGGAAAAAAUGGUAGAAAAGAAAAUAUACGAGAAAAAAAAAAGAUAAUGAAGAAAAUAGAUUAGAAAUGAAAAUAUGAUAAAUAAAAUAGAUGAAAAAAAAAAUAUGAUGAAGAAAAUGAUAUAAAAGAUAAGAAAGGAGUAAACGAGUAGUAUUUUAUAUAAAUGAAUUAGUAAACGAUUUUAGCAACUAAUUAUUGGUUGCUAAUUUUUUUAAAAACUUGAGGGAAAAAUUUUGCAACUAAUUCACAAUAGGUUGCAAAAUCAAUUUCUAUUAGUAACUAAUUCACAAAUCGGUUAUAAAUCAAAAAAAUAUAACAAAAAAUUGGAUGGAAAUUUUUGAAGAAAUUUUUACAAUGAUAUCGGUUAUAAAAUCGGUUGCUAAUAGCAAUAUCCGGUUGCAAAAAUCGGUUACUAUUAGCGAUCAAUUCUUAAAUCGGUUAUAAAUAAAAGAGAAAAACAAAAAAUUAGAAGGAAAAUUUUGGAGAGAAAAUUUAGCAACCGAUUUAAGUUUUUUGUAAAAAUUAAUUGCUAAUAGUAAUCGAUAAAGAAGUGAUUACAAAUUUGGAGCCUUUUAAAAAAAAGAUUGUAAUUAGCAAUCGAUACGCAAAUCGGUUACUAAAUUUUUGCAAUCGACUUAAAUUGAUUGCUAAUAGUGGCUGAUUUUUGCAACUAAUUGUAAAUCAGUUGCUAAAUUUUAGAACUAAUUAAAAUAACUCUUUAAUUUAA